CUGGCGGCAGGCCUAACACAUGCAAGUCGAGCGGUAGCACAGGGAGCUUGCUCCUGGGUGACGAGCGGCGGACGGGUGAGUAAUGUCUGGGAAACUGCCUGAUGGAGGGGGAUAACUACUGGAAACGGUAGCUAAUACCGCAUAACGUCUUCGGACCAAAGAGGGGGACCUUCGGGCCUCUUGCCAUCAGAUGUGCCCAGAUGGGAUUAGCUAGUAGGUGAGGUAAUGGCUCACCUAGGCGACGAUCCCUAGCUGGUCUGAGAGGAUGACCAGCCACACUGGAACUGAGACACGGUCCAGACUCCUACGGGAGGCAGCAGUGGGGAAUAUUGCACAAUGGGCGCAAGCCUGAUGCAGCCAUGCCGCGUGUAUGAAGAAGGCCUUCGGGUUGUAAAGUACUUUCAGCGAGGAGGAAGGCAUUGUGGUUAAUAACCACAGUGAUUGACGUUACUCGCAGAAGAAGCACCGGCUAACUCCGUGCCAGCAGCCGCGGUAAUACGGAGGGUGCAAGCGUUAAUCGGAAUUACUGGGCGUAAAGCGCACGCAGGCGGUCUGUCAAGUCGGAUGUGAAAUCCCCGGGCUCAACCUGGGAACUGCAUUCGAAACUGGCAGGCUAGAGUCUUGUAGAGGGGGGUAGAAUUCCAGGUGUAGCGGUGAAAUGCGUAGAGAUCUGGAGGAAUACCGGUGGCGAAGGCGGCCCCCUGGACAAAGACUGA
rnacentral:rRNA from 1 species